UGCAAGUCACAGCAGGGUUUUGUUUUGCU
rnacentral:piRNA from 1 species